rnacentral:rRNA from 1 species
AUGGAGAUCUCAGCCGCCACGGCCACCGCCGGCUCUUCCCCGCCAGCCAAGCCGGUGCUCCUCCGCCCCCACGCCACCUCUUCCGCUACCACAACCAUCAGCCGCCGCGCCUCCGCCUCGGCCUCGGCCACCGUCCGCCGCCGCGCGCGCACCCGCCGUUCCAAGACCAUCUCCGGCGCGGGCGGCGAUGACGGGGAGGGCCCCUUCGGACCCGGCAGUGGCGGGAGCGGCGGCGGCGGCGGCGGGUGGAACCAUGGUUUCGGGUCCGGAUCUGGUCAAGGCUGGGACUCAUCGGAGCCCGACGUCCCCGCCCCCCGCCGAUCGGCGGCGGAGGUGGCGCUCGGCGUGAUCUACGAGCUCAUGUGCCUCAUCGCGCUCUCCAACUGCACCCAGUUUGCCGUGCGGAGGCUCGCGGGGCUUCUCGCCGCCCGCGUCGCCGCGCUGCGCUUCGUCCCCAGGGUCUGCUGA